CGGGUUCCGGAAAGCGGGUGGCGCAGGCGGGGAGCGCGGCAGGGAGCGGUCCUGGCUGCGGGGUCGCGGCCGUGGAGAGAUGAUGCCGGGCGCAGGACGGCUCACGAUCCCAGGUGGACUCUGCGCGCCCCAAACCAGCGGUCACAGGGCCCAAAUGGAAACCAGAGAGCUCUGAAGAGGCCUCAGCGGUUAGUUACCCAGGACUGCAGAGACACCCUUCACCCCUGCAUGCGUUUGAUCUGACUCCACCAGAAGGCCCAGUCGCCAACGCCUAGCUGAGGUCCCAGGCCUGGCCUUACCCCCAACCCCUUCCCUCGGCCUCCAAUUGAAGGGAGGCCUGCCCGGCUCCAACUCAAUUAGCACAAAGGCGGCGGCGACGGGAACCCUGGUCUGUGCGGCAGGGCAGGGAGCAUCCUGGCGGGCAGGUAGAGAGGAACGCGCUAGCCCGGGGUCUUAUCAGCAAGCGGCUUAAUUAGGAAUUUGAGCUGACAACGUGCGCACCGCCACCCGGGCUCCGCCAGCCAGCCGGUUGAUGGUGGGAGUGAGACCCAAGAGGCUGGAGCCCCAGGCUUCAAAGCCGCCCGAGGUGCGGCGGCCUUGGGGAGGGGGGGGGCGCCCGGCGACCCCGAGCGCCGCCUGGACAGAAGCCGGCGGGCCAGUGGGCACUGGACCAUCUUCCCGGCGAAUACACUGCAGCUCUUCACACACACACUAGAAGAGGGCAGUGGAUUCCAUUACAGAUGGUUGUUAGCCACCAUGUGGUUGCUGGGGAUUGAACUCCGGACCUCUGGAAGAGCAAUUGUGCUCUUAACCACUGAGCCAUCUCUCCAGCCUCCCCCUCCCGAGGUCACACAAAGAAGAAAACGACAAGGCAGACCAACAGAUGAACAGGAUCUGGAGUGACCAGAAGCAGACCAGAUGCCCUGGGAUGACAUCACAGGAGGGGCUGACAUUGUGGGGAACAGUGCUUGAAGACAAUGGUGACACUUUCUGGGAAGACAUUUCCGGAUCUGCGAAGGUACAGAAGUCCAAGUUUGACAUGGUGAGUCCCAACCUUCACCAUUGAUCUUUGUGCCCUCCUGGUAGAGCUGAGCCCUGCCUGUGGGGUGAUAGUGGGGCCAUUACAUGUGUGUAGAGGAUGAAGACAGUCACAGUGACAUGCCAGACAUUUAUUAUGCAUCAGUAGUCUUCAGUCAUUGUGCCCACAGCACCCACUUGAAAGUCAUUCCUAGCUGACAUGGCACCUCAACCGGAAUCUUCUAAGGAUCCUGUGAGCCACAUGAGGCUACUUAGAAUACGUUCUUCUCUUCGGCCGCUGGUCUGGGAUGAGCACUUGCCCAUGUCUGCUUCUGUUAGCCAUGAAUGCUUCUGCCUUCUUUUUAAGGAAUAAAUAUAUAUUCUUUGAUGGUUCCAUGCAUGUACACAUGUACUGUCUGUUAAUUAUAUUUUAUGCCACUCCCUCUCACUCCCUCAUGUCUUCUCAAUAUCUCCUCUCUUCUCCCUCCCCUCCAUCCUCUUCCUUCUCCUCCUCCUCUUCUUUAAAACCACACCCAGUCCAGUGAGUGUUGCCUGAACACACAUGGGUAUUGAGCCAUCCCAGGGGCAUGGGCAGCCUACCAGCAGCCAUCCAUACCUUCGGAGAAGCUCAGCCGUCCUCCCUUGGAAGCAUCCGUUGGCCUGUGACCUCCGCACCCACAACUUUUGACCAGGUGCAUGGCACUAGACUUGUGUUCCCUCCUAUGAAGCAGACCUCAGAUCCUGUCAGAAAGCAGUUGAUUCCCGCAACCACCACGCCUCUAUUUCACUGGUAGCAGGGCUUGCUUUGGCUUUGUUCCUUAACUUCCAGCUACCUUGAGAUCUUCUAGGCAGCUCCCCUGCAGCCAGAGAACCAGCUAUUCAGCUGCGUGUGACAGAUGACAGUAUCUCCCCCCCACACACACACUGCCCAUCCAAAGCUCUGUCCUGGUGCCAGCCUCUUGUGCUCUCAGAAAGAAAGAGGCAUCUACAACUGCUGGGUGAGUACUCUGAGUUCCCUGAGGUCAAGAUGACGCUCAGGAAUGUGUCAGCCUCGUGAGUCCGCUGGUCUGUCCCGCUCCAUCCAUGGAAGACGGAAUCUGAACAGCUCUGGUUAUGUAACACGUGUAUAUCACUGCGAUGUGUACUGAGAGUCCACUUGAUGGGGCUCAGACUCACCAUGGAAACCUGGGUAUGGGACUCAGAGUCACCAUGGAAACCAGCCUCUGGGUAUGCCUGUCAGGAAGCUUCUAGAGUGUGUUCACGGAAGUGAGAAGAGCCCACCCUGUGUGUUGGCAGUGCCAUCUCGUCAUGAUCUGGGGUCCCGGACAGAAUGAAAAGGAGCAAGCAAGUUGAAUACCAGCAGUCACCCCCUCUCUGCUUC
rnacentral:lncRNA from 1 species